GAGAGAGAGAGAUCAGGUAAAUAAAGAGAGAGAGAAGAGAACUAUUACAAAAACUGAAAUGUAUUUUGCGUAUGCGAUUGUGUGUGUGAAUGUAUGUAUGUAUGUAUGUAUGUAUGACUAUGUGUGUGUGUGUGUGUAGAAGUAUUAGUGUGUGAAUGAGUGAGGCUGUGCUUGUGCAACUGAGGCUGGGCAAUGACCAAUCAAAUAGGAGAGUAAGUUGACGUUUUAGAGAGAGAGAGAGAGAUAUAGAAGGAAAGAGAGAGAGAGAUAUAUAGAAGGAAAGAGAGAGAGAUAGUGUAGGGGGAGGAGAGAUGGGGGUGGGUGGUAGCAAGGUGGUAAAGAGAGAUAUAGAGAUAGAAGCAACAAACUGAUGCAGCAGUGAUGUGUGUAUACAGUGCGGUCUGACUGACGAAGAGAGGAAAGAGAAAGAGAGAAAUAAGCGAGAGAGAGAGAGAAGGGAAGACAAAUAAGAACAGAGAGAGAAAGAGAGAGAGAGAGAAAGAGAGAGAGACAGACAGAGGAAACGGGGUUCAUACAUAUAAGAAAAAGGAAGAUUGCAGAGAAAGGGAGAGAGAAGAACUAUGGAUUACAUGUCGUAGAAGAAAGAGAAGAAGAAGAAGAAGAAGAAGAAGAAGAAGAAGAAGAAGAAGAAAAGCAAAGGAGAUGGUGGUGUUUAACAACCACGUGUGUAUUUAGGAUAUCCAUAUUUUAAUUAUAUAUUUUAUUUUGUCACUGCUGGUGACAGGGGAAAUUACAAAAGCUUGCCAGUAGUGACAACUAAUUCAA